GUGCUUGCUUCAGUAGCACAUACACUGCUAUUGGAAUGAUACAGAGAAAAUUAUCAUGGACCUUGCAGAAAGGUGACACAUUGUCCUUCAACCUUGCUUCUAAUGUCU
ensembl:snRNA U6 U6 spliceosomal RNA